CGAAAAGGCACCAAGAGUCGGGGGCGGAAAAAAGAAAAAAGAAGAGACAGCGGGAUGAUGAUCGCGCGUCGUUUGUAGGACGGGGGUGGAUGUCCCUGGGCUUCACAGCUGAAGGUGACCUCCCUGCUGGGCUCAUUAAGAUGGAGAGGGAAUACAAUACUUCCUGGCUGUUUGGUGAAUACUGGCCUCAGAGGACCACUGCCUUCUAAAGAAUAAUUCCACAACAUGACACAACCUGGUGGCGGAGAAAAGAGUGCUUUCAAAAAUCCCUCGCAGCAGGAGUGAAGAUCAUGCAAAAGAGCAAACAGCCUUUUUAAAUCAAAGACUUAAAAGUGAGAGGAUUAAGUCUUACCCUCCCAGUGACUGAAAGACAAUGUAACUGCUUCAUCAAAAAGAGAUCAAUAAAGGGGCUUUUGUGCU